rnacentral:rRNA from 1 species
GGGAUUACCUCAGUAACGGCGAGUGAAGCGGUAAAAGCUCAAAUUUGAAAUCUGGCUCUUUCAGAGUCCGAAUUGUAAUUUGUAGAAGAUGCUUCGGGUGUGGUUCCGGUCUAAGUUCCUUGGAACAGGUCAUCACAGAGGGUGAGAAUCCCGUAUGUGACUGGAUACCUAUGCUCAUGUGAAGCUCUUUCGACGAGUCGAGUUGUUUGGGAAUGCAGCUCAAAAUGGGUGGUAUAUUUCAUCUAAAGCUAAAUAUUGGCCAGAGACCGAUAGCGCACAAGUAGAGUGAUCGAAAGAUGAAAAGCACUUUGGAAAGAGAGUUAAACAGUACGUGAAAUUGUUGAAAGGGAAGCGCUUGCAAUCAGACUUGCCCCUAGUUCCAGUGGUGACUUGUUCACCGUUAAUCUGCCUAGGGUCAGGCCAGCAUCAGUUUGGAUGGUUAGAUAAAGGCUUGAAGAAUGUGGCCCUCUUCGGGGGGUGUUAUAGCUUCAGGUGCAAUGUAGCCUAUCUGGACUGAGGACCGCGCUUCGGCUAGGAUGCUGGCGUAAUGGUUGUAAGCGACCCGUCUUGAAACACGGACCAAGGAGUGUACCUCAUAUGCGAGUGUUUGGGUGUUAAACCCAUACGCGUAAUGAAAGUGAACGGAGGUGAGAACCCUUAAGGGUGCAUCAUCGACCGAUCCUGAUGUCUUCGGAUGGAUUUGAGUAAGAGCAUAUGGGGUGCGACCCGAAAGAUGGUGAUCUAUACGUGAAUAGGGUGAAGCCAGAGGAAACUCUGGUGGAGGCUCGCAGCGGUUCUGACGUGCAAAUCGAUCGUCAAAUUUGCGUAUAGGGGCGAAAGACUAAUCGA